rnacentral:rRNA from 1 species
GGUUAAGCGACUAAGCGUACACGGUGGAUGCCACGGCAGUCAGAGGCGAUGAAGGACGUGCUAAUCUGCGAUAAGCGUCGGUGAGGUGAUAUGAACCGUUAUAACCGGCGAUUUCCGAAUGGGGAAACCCAGUGUGUUUCGACACACUAUCAUUAACUGAAUCCAUAGGUUAAUGAGGCGAACCGGGGAACUGAAACAUCUAAGUACCCCGAGGAAAAGAAAUCAACCGAGAUUCCCCAGUAGCGGCGAGCGAACGGGGAGGAGCCCAGAGCCUGAAUCAGUGUGUGUGUUAGUGGAAGCGUCUGGAAAGGCGCGCGAUACAGGGUGACAGCCCCGUACACAAAAAUGCACAUGCUGUGAGCUCGAUGAGUAGGGCGGGACACGUGGUAUCCUGUCUGAAUAUGGGGGACCAUCCUCCAAGGCUAAAUACUCCUGACUGACCGAUAGUGAACCAGUACCGUGAGGGAAAGGCGAAAAGAACCCCGGCGAGGGGAGUGAAAAAGAACCUGAAACCGUGUACGUACAAGCAGUGGGAGCCUCUUAAUGGGGUGACUGCGUACCUUUUGUAUAAUGGGUCAGCGACUUAUAUUCUGUAGCAAGGUUAACCGAAUAGGGGAGCCGAAGGGAAACCGAGUCUUAACUGGGCGUUAAGUUGCAGGGUAUAGACCCGAAACCCGGUGAUCUAGCCAUGGGCAGGUUGAAGGUUGGGUAACACUAACUGGAGGACCGAACCGACUAAUGUUGAAAAAUUAGCGGAUGACUUGUGGCUGGGGGUGAAAGGCCAAUCAAACCGGGAGAUAGCUGGUUCUCCCCGAAAGCUAUUUAGGUAGCGCCUCGUGAAUUCAUCUCCGGGGUAGAGCACUGUUUCGGCAAGGGGGUCAUCCCGACUUACCAACCCGAUGCAAACUGCGAAUACCGGAGAAUGUUAUCACGGGAGACACACGGCGGGUGCUAACGUCCGUCGUGAAGAGGGAAACAACCCAGACCGCCAGCUAAGGUCCCAAAGUCAUGGUUAAGUGGGAAACGAUGUGGGAAGGCCCAGACAGCCGUGAUGUUGGCUUAGAAGCAGCCAUCAUUUAAAGAAAGCGUAAUAGCUCACUGGUCGAGUCGGCCUGCGCGGAAGAUGUAACGGGGCUAAACCAUGCACCGAAGCUGCGGCAGCGACACUAUGUGUUGUUGGGUAGGGGAGCGUUCUGUAAGCCUGUGAAGGUGUGCUGUGAGGCAUGCUGGAGGUAUCAGAAGUGCGAAUGCUGACAUAAGUAACGAUAAAGCGGGUGAAAAGCCCGCUCGCCGGAAGACCAAGGGUUCCUGUCCAACGUUAAUCGGGGCAGGGUGAGUCGACCCCUAAGGCGAGGCCGAAAGGCGUAGUCGAUGGGAAACAGGUUAAUAUUCCUGUACUUGGUGUUACUGCGAAGGGGGACGGAGAAGGCUAUGUUGGCCGGGCGACGGUUGUCCCGGUUUAAGCGUGUAGGCUGGUUUUCCGGGCAAAUCCGGAAAACCAAGGCUGAGGCGUGAUGACGAGGCACUACGGUGCUGAAGCGACAAAUGCCCUGCUUCCGUGAAAAGCCUCUAAGCAUCAGGUAACAUCAAAUCGUACCCCAAACCGACACAGGUGGUCAGGUAGAGAAUACCAAGGCGCUUGAGAGAACUCGGGUGAAGGAACUAGGCAAAAUGGUGCCGUAACUUCGGGAGAAGGCACGCUGAUAUGUAGGUGAAGCGACUUGCUCGUGGAGCUGAAAUCAGUCGAAGAUACCAGCUGGCUGCAACUGUUUAUUAAAAACACAGCACUGUGCAAACACGAAAGUGGACGUAUACGGUGUGACGCCUGCCCGGUGCCGGAAGGUUAAUUGAUGGGGUUAGCGGUAACGCGAAGCUCUUGAUCGAAGCCCCGGUAAACGGCGGCCGUAACUAUAACGGUCCUAAGGUAGCGAAAUUCCUUGUCGGGUAAGUUCCGACCUGCACGAAUGGCGUAAUGAUGGCGGGCUGUCUCCACCCGAGACUCAGUGAAAUUGAACUCGCUGUGAAGAUGCAGUGUACCCGCGGCAAGACGGAAAGACCCCGUGAACCUUUACUAUAGCUUGACACUGAACAUUGAGCCUUGAUGUGUAGGAUAGGUGGGAGGCUUUGAAGUGUGGACGCCAGUCUGCAUGGAGCCGACCUUGAAAUACCACCCUUUAAUGUUUGAUGUUCUAACGUUGGCCCGUAAUCCGGGUUGCGGACAGUGUCUGGUGGGUAGUUUGACUGGGGCGGUCUCCUCCUAAAGAGUAACGGAGGAGCACGAAGGUUGGCUAAUCUCGGUCGGACAUCAGGAGGUUAGUGCAAUGGCAUAAGCCAGCUUGACUGCGAGCGUGACGGCGCGAGCAGGUGCGAAAGCAGGUCAUAGUGAUCCGGUGGUUCUGAAUGGAAGGGCCAUCGCUCAACGGAUAAAAGGUACUCCGGGGAUAACAGGCUGAUACCGCCCAAGAGUUCAUAUCGACGGCGGUGUUUGGCACCUCGAUGUCGGCUCAUCACAUCCUCGGGGCUGAAGUAGGUCCCAAGGGUAUGGCUGUUCGCCAUUUAAAGUGGUACGCGAGCUGGGUUUAGAACGUCGUGAGACAGUUCGGUCCCUAUCUCGCCGUGGGCGCUGGAGAACUGAGGGGGCUGCUCCUAGUACGAGAGGACCGGAGUGGACGCAUCACUGGUGUUCGGGUUGUCAUGCCAAUGGCACUGCCCGGUAGCUAAAUGCGGAAGAGAUAAGUGCUGAAAGCAUCUAAGCACGAAACUUGCCCCGAGAUGAGUUCUCCCUGAGACUUAGAGUCUCCUGAAGGAACGUUGAAGACGACGACGUUGAUAGGCCGGGUGUGUAAGCGCAGCGAUGCGUUGAGCUAACCGGUACUAAUGAACCGUGAGGCUUAACCUU